CGGGGUGAGUAAUGUCUGGGAAACUGCCUGAUGGAGGGGGAUAACUACUGGAAACGGUAGCUAAUACCGCAUAAUGUCGCAAGACCAAAGAGGGGGACCUUCGGGCCUCUUGCCAUCGGAUGUGCCCAGAUGGGAUUAGCUGUGGUGGGGUAACGGCUCACCUAGGCGACGAUCCCUAGCUGGUCUGAGAGGAUGACCAGCCACACUGGAACUGAGACACGGUCCAG
rnacentral:rRNA from 1 species